ensembl:snoRNA
UGGCCAAGGAUGAGGACUCUAACCUGACUGGAUAUGCUGCUGUGAUGGGUUUAAGGAUUUACCUGAGGCCA